CAGGCGGGUGAACGUUCCACAGGAACGACAGAGAAAGACGCCCCAUUUUUCACCAGGAUGGUGUCCCUGCUGGAAGGGGAUGGCAAUCCCCUGGCAAGCCUGUGUGAUGGCCUUGACGUCGACAGCACAGAGGGAGAGGCCCCAUUUUUCACCAAGGUGGUGGCCCUGAUGGAAAGAGAG